CAAGUCGAACGCGAAAGCCCUUUCGGGGGUAAGUAGAGUGGCGUCCGGGUGAGUAACACGUGGGUAAUCUGCCUUCGGGUGGGGAAUAACCCAGGGAAACUUGGGCUAAUACCGCAUAAUGCAGCGGCACCUAAUGGUGAUUAGUUGUUAAAGCGGGGGAUCGCAAGACCUCGCGCCUGAAGAGGAGCCUGCGGCAGAUUAGCUAGUUGGUGAGGUAAUGGCUCACCAAGGCUGCGAUCUGUAGCUGGUCUGAGAGGACGGCCAGCCACACUGGCACUGACACACGGGCCAGACUCCUACGGGAGGCAGCAGUGGGGAAUUUUGGGCAAUGGGCGCAAGCCUGACCCAGCAACGCCGCGUGAGGGAGGAAAUCCUUCGGGAUGUAAACCUCACAAGCAAGGGAAGAGAGUCAUGGGCUGAAUAAUCCCAUGGUGCGACGGUACCUUGCGUAAGCCACGGCUAACUACGUGCCAGCAGCCGCGGUAAUACGUAGGUGGCAAGCGUUGUUCGGAAUUAUUGGGCGUAAAGGGCGCGUAGGCGGUUUGUUAAGUCGGCUGUGAAAGCCCGGGGCUCAACCCCAGAGGGUCAGCCGAUACUGGCAGGCUAGAGUACGGAAGAGGUAGCUGGAAUUCCCGGUGUAGCGGUGAAAUGCGUAGAUAUCGGGAGGAACACCUGAGGCGAAGGCGGGCUACUGGGCCGAUACUGACGCUGAUGUGCGAAAGCCAGGGGAGCGAAUGGGAUUAGAUACCCCGGUAGUCCUGGCCCUAAACGAUGGACACUUGGUGUGUCGGGUAUUCCAGUCCCGAUGUGCCGGAGCUAACGCGUUAAGUGUCCCGCCUGGG
rnacentral:rRNA from 1 species